AUAAGCAGCCUCUUCAUUUUACUCAGCAGAGUCUUUUUAUUUUAUUAUACUCAGCUCUUUCUUCUCUUAUCAUCUGUGUGUUUCUCUACUUCUUUAUUAUAUAUAGUUUUUAUUUUUCUUUUACAGUCAGUUCUUAGUUUUUUUUUUUUCUUUUUUUAUUUCAGACAUAAAGAAUGAGUUUAGGGUGAAAUCAAUAAUUUUGUUUAAUUUGAUUAGCGAACAUAUAAUGAAAUUUAGUCAAUUUCAGUAUUUUUCAAUGAAUACUGAUACAAAAAUAAAUUUUGGAAGGGAACAGAGGAAUUUGAUUGGCUCUGAUUAGCCAUUAAUUUUUUUUCUAAACUCUUGAAUUCAUCGAUCGCACAAACGUUAAGCAAGACGAGAAAUCAAAGAAGUCAAUUUAUCUAUGCACGUGGCCUACAAAUAUGCCUAUCAUUGAGACAACUGAUGCACGACGCUACAUUUUUUAGGCGAUCUCAAUGGAGGUUUAGCCCCCAUGAUUGCGGAUGCUUUAUCCAGCCUCCUGCUGGGGUAAACGAUCCAGAUACACAAACUUAUCCGACACUACUCAAAUUAACUCCUCGCAUAUCUGGAAAGGAAUUUCAAUUGAAACCUGUUGAGACAAUCGAUGGUGAAUCUACGAUUAUAUUUGAACCAUCUGAUAUUCAAGGUUAUAUUAAAGAGGAAAUUUGCAAUAUGCUCUUGCUGCAAAGUUUUCCUAUGAGAGGCCAACAAUGACUGAGCUGGGAAAGUUUUUUCCACACAGUAAUUGAAGAUUAAAGGGAUGGCGUGCAAUAUUGGUUCAUUGGAUUUUCAAUAUAUUUUAAAUCGGUUGACGGAAUAUGAGGAUGUUGUUACUGUCUAUUGGACAACAAUUUCUACAAUUAUUGUUAAGAAAAAAUCCAACUACACUCGUCUUGGAAAUGCUCUCUGAUCAUUAAGUUACUGGGAAAAAAUUGUGCAUCAUCAAAACAAAAAUUCAAGAUCUAUGGAGACUUUCAGAGGAAUUUCUUGUAUCUCUUAUUCUCUGUUUUUGUUGUUAGAUGUAUCUCUUAUUUUUUAAGUUGUAGUGAAAUAAGCAUAUUAAAGAUAUGUAUAUAUUGUGUACGGGGUUGUUUUGUACGUAUCUCACACUAUUUUUUAUUUUGAUUCAAAUAUUUAUACCAAGUAUACAUAUUCAGUAAAACAAUACAUACACUUUAAGCUUUUUGUA